UACGGGGGGGGCAAGCGUUGUUCGGAAUUACUGGGCGUAAAGGGCCAGUAGGCGGCCAACUAAGUCGGACGUGAAAUCCCCAGGCUCAACCUGGGAACUGCGUCCGAUACUGGAUGGCUUGAAUUCGGGAGAGGGAUGCAGAAUUCCAGGUGUAGCGGUGAAAUGCGUAGAUAUCUGGAGGAAUACCGGUGGCGAAGGCGGCAUCCUGGACCGACAUUGACGCUGAGGCGCGAAAGCUAGGGGAGCAAACGGG
rnacentral:rRNA from 1 species